AUUGAACGCUGGCGGCAUGCCUAACACAUGCAAGUCGCACGCGAAAGAGGGGCAACCCUUGAGUAGAGUGGCGGACGGGUGAGUAACGCGUAGGAAUAUACCUGGUAGUGGGGGACAACCCGGUGAAAACCGGGCUAAUACCGCAUACGAUCCACGGAUGAAAGCAGGGGACCGCAAGGCCUUGCGCUAUCAGAUUAGCCUGCGUAGGGUUAGCUAGUGGGUGAGGUAAUGGCUCACCAAGGCAACGAUCCGUAGAGGGUUUGAGAGAACGACCAGCCACACUGGGACUGAGACACGGCCCAAACGCCUCUGGGAGGCAGCAGUGGGGAAUAUUGGACAAUGGGGGCAACCCUGAUCCAGCAAUGCCGCGUGUGUGAAGAAGGCCUUCGGGUUGUAAAGCACUUUCGGUGGGGACAAACGUGGCGAGGCUAACAUCCUAGUCCUUGAUGGUACUCAAAGAAGAAGCACCGGCUAACUCUGUGCCAGCCGCCGCAGUAA
rnacentral:rRNA from 1 species